rnacentral:rRNA from 1 species
UACGGGGGGAGCAAGCGUUGUUCGGAUUUACUGGGCGUAAAGGGCGCGUAGGCGGCCUCCGCAAGUCAGUUGUGAAAUCUCCGAGCUUAACUCGGAAAGGUCAACUGAUACUGCGGGGCUAGAGUGCGGAAGGGGCAACUGGAAUUCUUGGUGUAGCGGUGAAAUGCGUAGAUAUCAAGAGGAACACCUGAGGUGAAGACGGGUUGCUGGGCUGACACUGACGCUGAGGCGCGAAAGCCAGGGGAGCAAACGGG